AACGCACAUUGCGCCUCCUGGUAUUCCGGGAGGCAUGCCUGUUCGAGCGUCAUUAAAAACCACUCAAGCUCUUUUGCUUGGUAUUGGGAGAUGAGUAUACUUUUCCUAGUUUACUCACUCUCGAAAUUCAAAGGCGUAGAGCCCCACAUACCACAGCGUAGUAAGUUUUCUUUCGCUUGGAGUGUGAGGUGAUAUUGCCACAAACCCCCAAUUAUUUUCUAGGUUGACCUCGGAUCAGGUAGGGAUACCCGCUGAACUUAA
rnacentral:misc_RNA from 1 species